UAGUUGGUUAAUAAAUGCUUCACAAUUAUGUUCGUCCUUGUCAUAUCAACCUGUAACAGUCCAGUUAUUAUUUUAUGUCCAAAAGUCGGGCUUAUUUUUUCAUUAACUGGGACCUGCAUCCGUUGAUCUCUCUGAGUAAAAAUAUUACCCGUCGUGAAAGGUUUGUUUAUUUUUGACAGUGGAAGUAAUUGAAUAACCAUGGUAGUAAAUGUGACGGAAUUGAACAGGCUUCAAACCCAAUGAGACGGAAUUGAACAUGUUUCAUCUACGAAGUCAAUAUCUUCCAACACUUUGCAAAUUAAACAAUAAUAAUUAUUAUUUUAAGACAAACGAUGAAGGUAUUUAAAUAAAUUAUUGGCAGUUGAACGUCUUUAAUUUGAAGUU
rnacentral:misc_RNA from 1 species